rnacentral:rRNA from 1 species
CAAAACUUUCAACAACGGAUCUCUCGGUUCUGGCAUCGAUGAAGAACGCAGCGAAAUGCGAUAAGUAAUGUGAAUUGCAGAAUUCAGUGAAUCAUCGAAUCUUUGAACGCACAUUGCGCCCGUCAGUAUUCUGGCGGGCAUGCCUGUUCGAGCGUCAUU